rnacentral:rRNA from 1 species
GACGAAGGGGGCUAGCGUUGUUCGGAUUUACUGGGCGUAAAGGGCGCGUAGGCGGCGUGACAAGUCACUUGUGAAAUCUCUGAGCUUAACUCAGAACGGCCAAGUGAAACUGUUGUGCUAGAGUGCAGAAGGGGCAAUCGGAAUUCUUGGUGUAGCGGUGAAAUGCGUAGAUAUCAGGAGGAAUACCUAUGGCGAAAGCAGGUAUCUGGGCCAUCACUGACGCUGAGCUGCGAAAGCUAGGGGAGCAAACAGG